rnacentral:rRNA from 1 species
UACAGAGGUCUCAAGCGUUGUUCGGAUUCAUUGGGCGUAAAGGGUGCGUAGGUGGCGUGGUAAGUCGGGUGUGAAAUUUCGGAGCUUAACUCCGAAACUGCAUUCGAUACUGCUGUGCUUGAGGACUGGAGAGGAGACUGGAAUUUACGGUGUAGCAGUGAAAUGCGUAGAUAUCGUGAGGAAGACCAGUGGCGAAGGCGAAUCUCUGGACAGUGACUGACGCUGAGGCACGAAGGCUAGGGGAGCAAACGGG